CGAGCGGCAAUGACGGGGAACAGUAAAACCGCCCUUCAGGUCCAGAGAGCGAAAUCCAACGGCUGAGAGGUUUCGUCCAUGAAUCGGUUUGAACCCACCCCAGAGCAUCCAGGGAAGACCUGGACGGGUUUCUUUCACCUGUUAUCAAAGAAAGAGAGCUGGAUGUUUGCGACUUGACGGGUAUCUUCUGUCGGCAGACGUCAAUUAAGGUGGUACCGCGUAAGGCUAACAUGCCCUUUCGUCCUUAUC
rnacentral:ncRNA from 1 species